GAUUGGCCAAAUGGAACAGGCCAACGCACAAUCGCAGUUUCUACUCAAAUAAUCAACAGUUGAUUGAACUUGUUAUCAUUAAAGUAAUACUACAUCCUUUACAGACCAAAGAUCCCACUUUGGGGCCUCAGGGGUCACUAUUCCGGAUGAUCGGAAAAGCAACAUAGAGAUGGAUGUCCAUAUGUGGAGGGUGAAUGUCAUCAGACUCCUGUGUUCAGCUGUGGUCAUGGCAGCUCUGGCUGGUCUGGCUUACUCUCAUUUCUGCAGCAGCAAAGGUCUGAAACGCCCACACCAGAAAAUGCCCCAAACAGAGAAGGAGUGUUUUGAACUAACAUGAAGCCACAUCAUCUGACAAGGACAUGUAAUGACAAUGUUUUAUAUUACUGAUCUUUAUUAUAGUACUAUAUUACAUUAUAUAGUUUUAUAGUACGUUGCAUUACUGUACAUUAUAUUAUGGUGACACAUUUCCUGUAUCAAAAGAGUAUAUAUUUCCAUUUUGCACAAUAAUUUGAAACAGCGCAUGUUAAGAGUUUUUUUGUAUGAGUCAUCAUUUGGAAGUUUGUUCAAUAACAUUUGAAUUGCACUCUCAACAGUUCAUGAAGGUGAAGUUAUAUCCAGAAGUAAAUGUAAAAAAAUGCACAUAGUUGUGGAUUGUUUUAAAGGGACACUGUGUGAGAUUUUUAGCUUUUUAUUUCCAGAAUUCAUGCUGCCCAUUCACUAAUGUUACCUUUUUCAUGAAUACUUACCACCACCAUCAAAUUCCAAGUAUUCAUUAUGACUGGAAAAAUUGCACUUUUCAUGCAUGAAAAGGGGGAUCUUCUCCAGCGUCCGCCAUUUUGAA